UACGUAUGCCCCAAGCACUGCCCGGAAUUACUGGGUGUAAAGGGUUUGUAGGCGGGAUUGUAAGUUGAAUAUUAAAGACCGAGGCUCAACCUCGUGUAUGUGUUCAAAACUACAAUUCUAGAAUUAGGGAGAGGUAAGCGGAAUUCUGAGUGUAGGGGUGCAAUCCGUAGAUACUCAGAGGAACACCAAAAGCGAAGGCAGCUUACUGGAACUAUAUUGACGCUGAGGAACGAAAGCGUGGGUAGCGAAAAGGAUUAGAUACCCUUGUAGUCCACGCCCUAAACGAUGAUAACUAAGUGUUGGGCAUAUGCUCAGUGCUGAAGCUAACGCAUUAAGUUAUCCACCUGAGGAGUACGGUCGCAAGAUUAAAACUCAAAGGAAUAGACGGGGACCCACACAAGCAGUGGAUCACGCGGUUUAAUUCGAUAGUACACGGGGAACCUUACCCAGACUUGACAUCCUAGGAAUCUUUCAGAGAUGAGAGAGUGCUCGUAAGAGAAUCUAGAGACAGGUGCUGCAUGGUUGUCGUCAGCUCGUGCCUUGAGGUGUUCGGUUAAGUCCGUUAACGAGCGCAACCCAUGUUCUUAGUUAUAAUGUCUAAGAAGACUGCCUUGGUUAACAAGGAGGAAGGUGUGGAUGACGUCAAAUCAGCAUGGCUUUUACGUCUGGGGCUACACGCAUGAUACAAUGGUCUAUACAAAGAGCAGCGAAGUGGUAACGCGGAGCAAAUCUUAAAAGUAGAUCUCAGUCCGGAUUGAGGUCUGAAACCCGACCUCAUGAAGUUGGAAUUGCUAGUAAUCGUGAAUCAGAUAUGUCACGGUGAAUAUGUUCC
rnacentral:rRNA from 1 species